rnacentral:rRNA from 1 species
GUCUACGGCCAUGCCACCCUGAACAAGCCCGAUCUCGUCUCAUCUCAGAAGCUAAGCAUGGCCAGACCUGGUUAGUAUUUGGAUGGGAGACCACCUAGGAAGACCAGGUGCUGUAGGUG